CCUGAGAAACCCAAAAGAUCGAAUGGGGAGAUUCAUCGUCAGCCGCUUUGGCUUCCGUGUGGUUUGCGAUGAUCGGGGCCUCGGCUCUGUGUCACGCAAUCACUGCGGUUAUGUCCGAAGGGGUCGGCGUGCACUUCUCCCCUAGUAGGACGUCGCGAUUCGUUGGGUGUCGGUUUACGGACUGGAAGGUCGUCUGACGAGUCUCGUUCACGCGUGUACUCGUCAGACCUCCGGUUUCCCAACCGGCUGCCCGGCGAUAUAAAACGAUAAUUAAUGGUAUUGGGCCGCAUUUAUGCGUUCAGGCUCGUCGGCAGGUACGCCUCGCUCGGAUUUACGGACCUAGCGCCGUUGCCGGGUGCUUGGUGGACUGUUCGCCGACGAUGUCCUCGGACUGGCUCUUAAUAUUCGAACGAAUAUACCGAUCGGCGACGCUACUGCUUUGGGUACUUUCAGGCU
rnacentral:rRNA from 1 species